rnacentral:rRNA from 1 species
AUUGAACGCUGUCGGCAGGCCUAACACAUGCAAGUCGAACGGUAACAGGAAGCAGCUUGCUGCUUUGCUGACGAGUGGCGGACGGGUGAGUAAUGUCUGGGAAACUGCCCGAUGGAGGGGGAUAACUACUGGAAACGGUAGCUAAUACCGCAUAACGUCGCAAGACCAAAGAGGGGGACCUUAGGGCCUCUUGCCAUCGGAUGUGCCCAGAUGGGAUUAGCUAGUAGGUGGGGUAACGGCUCACCUAGGCGACGAUCCCUAGCUGGUCUGAGAGGACGACCAGCCACACUGGAACUGAGACACGGUCCAGACUCCUACGGGAGGCAGCAGUGGGGAAUAUUGCACAAUGGGCGCAAGCCUGAUGCAGCCAUGCCGCGUGUAUGAAGAAGGCCUUCGGGUUGUAAAGUACUUUCAGCGGGGAGGAAGGGAGUAAAGUUAAUACCUUUGCUCAUUGACGUUACCCGCAGAAGAAGCACCGGCUAACUCCGUG